UACGAAGGGGGCUAGCGUUGUUCGGAAUUACUGGGCGUAAAGGGCGCGUAGGCGGUCUGAUUAGUCAGAUGUGAAAUUCCCGGGCUUAACCUGGGCGCUGCAUUUGAUACUGUCAGGCUUGAAUUCAAGAGAGGAUAGCGGAAUUCCCAGUGUAGAGGUGAAAUUCGUAGAUAUUGGGAAGAACACCGGUGGCGAAGGCGGCUAUCUGGACUGACAUUGACGCUGAGGCGCGAAAGCGUGGGGAGCAAACAGG
rnacentral:rRNA from 1 species